UACAGAGGUCCCGAGCGUUGUUCGGAUUCAUUGGGCGUAAAGGGUGCGUAGGCGGCGGGGUAAGUCUGAUGUGAAAUCCCGGGGCUCAACCCCGGAACUGCAUUGGAUACUGCCUUGCUUGAGUACUGGAGAGGGAACUGGAAUUUACGGUGUAGCAGUGAAAUGCGUAGAGAUCGUAAGGAAGGCCAGUGGCGAAGGCGAGUUCCUGGACAGUUACUGACGCUGAGGCACGAAGGCCAGGGGAGCAAACGGG
rnacentral:rRNA from 1 species